UACAGAGACUGCAAGCGUUAUUCGGAUUCACUGGGCGUAAAGGGUGCGCAGGCGGCCGGGUGUGUCAGAUGUGAAAUCCCGAGGCUUAACCUCGGAACUGCGUCUGAAACUACUCGGCUAGAGUAUUGGAGAGGGUAGCGGAAUUCACGGUGUAGCAGUGAAAUGCGUAGAUAUUGGGAAGAACACCUGAGGCGAAGGCGGGUUGCUGGGCCGACACUGACGCUGAGGCGCGAAAGCCAGGGGAGCGAACGGG
rnacentral:rRNA from 1 species